GGCCGCGGGAAUUCGAUUGUUUGAUCCUGGCUCAGGAUGAACGCUAGCUACAGGCUUAACACAUGCAAGUCGAGGGGAAACGGCAUUAAGUGCUUGCACUUUUUGGACGUCGACCGGCGCACGGGUGAGUAACGCGUAUCCAACCUUCCCAUGACUAAGGGAUAACCUGCCGAAAGGCAGACUAAUACCUUAUGGUCUUCACUGACGGCAUCAGAUGUGAAGUAAAGAUUUAUCGGUUAUGGAUGGGGAUGCGUCUGAUUAGCUUGUUGGCGGGGUAACGGCCCACCAAGGCGACGAUCAGUAGGGGUUCUGAGAGGAAGGUCCCCCACAUUGGAACUGAGACACGGUCCAAACUCCUACGGGAGGCAGCAGUGAGGAAUAUUGGUCAAUGGGCGAGAGCCUGAACCAGCCAAGUAGCGUGCAGGAUGACCGCCCUAUGGGUUGUAAACUGCUUUUGUAUGGGGAUAAAGUCAAUCACGUGUGAUUGUUUGCAGGUACCAUACGAAUAAGGACCGGCUAAUUUCCGUGCCAGCAGCCCGCGG
rnacentral:rRNA from 1 species